UACCAGCACCCCGAGUGGUCGGGACGAUUAUUGGGCCUAAAGCAUCCGUAGCCGGCCUUACAAGUCCUCCGUUAAAUCCAGCUGCUUAACAGAUGGGCUGCGGAGGAUACUAUAAGACUAGGAGGCAGGAGAGGCAAGCGGUACUCAGUGGGUAGGGGUAAAAUCCAUUGAUCCAUUGAAGACCACCAGUGGCGAAGGCGGCUUGCCAGAAUGCGCUCGACGGUGAGGGAUGAAAGCUGGGGGAGCAAACCGG
rnacentral:rRNA from 1 species